GUCGAACGGCAGCGCGGGGCAACCUGGCGGCGAGUGGCGAACGGGUGAGUAAUAUAUCGGAACGUACCCUGGAGUGGGGGAUAACGUAGCGAAAGUUACGCUAAUACCGCAUACGAUCUAAGGAUGAAAGUGGGGGAUUCGCAAGAACCUCAUGCUCCUGGAGCGGCCGAUAUCUGAUUAGCUAGUUGGUGGGGUAAAGGCCUACCAAGGCAUCGAUCAGUAGCUGGUCUGAGAGGACGACCAGCCACACUGGAACUGAGACACGGUCCAGACUCCUACGGGAGGCAGCAGUGGGGAAUUUUGGACAAUGGGCGAAAGCCUGAUCCAGCAAUGCCGCGUGAGUGAAGAAGGCCUUCGGGUUGUAAAGCUCUUUUGUCAGGGAAGAAACGGUGAGGGCUAAUAUCCCUUGCUAAUGACGGUACCUGAAGAAUAAGCACCGGCUAACUACGUGCCAGCAGCCGCGGUAAUACGUAGGGUGCAAGCGUUAAUCGGAAUUACUGGGCGUAAAGCGUGCGCAGGCGGUUUUGUAAGUCUGUCGUGAAAUCCCCGGGCUCAACCUGGGAAUUGCGAUGGAGACUGCAAGGCUAGAAUCUGGCAGAGGGGGGUAGAAUUCCACGUGUAGCAGUGAAAUGCGUAGAGAUGUGGAGGAACACCGAUGGCGAAGGCAGCCCCCUGGGUCAAGAUUGACGCUCAUGCACGA
rnacentral:rRNA from 1 species